rnacentral:tRNA from 1 species
UAGGAUUGUAGUUUAUUUAGUCAGAGCACCGCCCUGUCAAGGCGGAAGCUGCGGGUUCGAGCCCCGUCAGUCUCGAUAG